UACGUAGGGUGCAAGCGUUGUCCGGAAUUAUUGGGCGUAAAGAGCUCGUAGGCGGUCUGUUGCGUCGGCUGUGAAAACCCGGGGCUCAACUCCGGGCCUGCAGCCGAUACGGGCAGACUAGAGUUCGGCAGGGGAGACUGGAAUUCCUGGUGUAGCGGUGAAAUGCGCAGAUAUCAGGAGGAACACCGGUGGCGAAGGCGGCUCACUGGCCCGUAACUGACGCUGAGGCACGAAAGCGUGGGGAGCAAACAGG
rnacentral:rRNA from 1 species